CAUGCACCUCUGGCCACACGUGUUUGCAUGGCCGACCUUUAGCCACCUGCAGUAAUCUUUUCCGCACUUCAUCCUUCGAAUGCUAUGCACAUGUGUAUAUAUACGUACGUAUGCACAUGUGCAUAUACUACAGAAAAGACGGGGGUCUAAUUGCAAGGUUCCCACUUCUAUGAAAGGCCCCAGUCCCGCUGCUGUCGAUAGACAGCGGAUUAAUGAUUGCUAACCAUUGCUAAUUAUUAGUCUACGCGAAGUGUGUUUUGCGUAGAUUAAAAAUUGCUAAUUAUUAAUCUACGCGGAGUGGUCCCGACGUAGAUUGAUAAUUAGCAAUUGUUAAUCUAUGAAAAUCCAACCCCCCCCCCCUACGGUGUCUAUGAAAAUCCAACCCCCCCCCCCCCUUCAUCUCCGCUCGAUCCGCUCUCACUUAUUUGAGAACGCGAAACCUCUUGUGCACCCGAGCCGUCUUCGUACCAGGUCUCCUCUAUUGUGGUCUGGAGCUUUGAAAAACUAUCUUGCAUACUUUCUUGGAGAUUAAUAAUGGAGUCUGAGAUCAAACUGCCAAAUUUCAUGAGUUUGCUCUGCUCAUUUGUCGAGGCUGGUGGCGUGGUUUCGGCCGUUUUCCCAUAUGGCUGGUGCGCCUUGACUUCCCGCCACUUCUUUUGUGGCGCUUUGUGUGCCUUUUUUGGCUCCACUCUCCUUCGCCAAAGGAGUACUUGCCUCGCUCAUGUCACUGGGAAUGAAUCUCCUUUCUUUCCCUUGUUUUUUAUCUGAAUUCGCAGACAUGUCUUUCCGCGAGAUUUCUCUACGGCCACGCCGUGAAGUUCAGUCACCGCUCGCCAAAGUUUGUGCGGGAAGAAAAAGGUCGUAGUUCUUUCCCAAAGUUUUUUGGCGGUUGAUGCGUGACUGUUUAUCACUAUGUACACUUCUGCGAAGUGUCUAAACUAUUUUUCACUUCUACGAAGUGCAAAUAUGAUCAAGGACACGUCCCUGACAGACGUUUGACUGUCGUUGCACCGAAGGCAAACGUGCACUGAAGUUGCGCAUGCGCAUCGUUGCUAUCUCACUUGGUCCCUCAAUGUGGUGACGCAGAAGAAUCGCCAUAAAUACGAUAAUACUCAAAACAUUUUUUGCUUAUUUUAUAUUUUAUUACAAACCCCAGUGGGAGACCGGAGUUCCAAGAAAGAAAGAAUCAGCUCCCAUCCAUGUCUAUAUAUCAUCUGUCUUUGCAUCUGUUUCUAUAUUCCUUUAAAUUUCAAAGCAAAUACACCCAAAGGAAUGUUUGGCCAUAGCCCCGCUUGUUACACCCAUGGUAUUCUAAAAGUUAACCAGAUAGCCGUAGUCUUGCCUGAAGGAGUAAUUCAAACAGCACCAGAAAUAUAGGGGCAGCUUAUUGUUUUACAAGAGUAGCUGUUGGAAAACAAUUUGGUGAACUAAGUAUAUCUAUUGACUUUUUAGAUUAUUGUUUGAAAAUUACUAUAUCCUAAAAACUGUUUUGACCCCCCAUUUUCUGAAUUCUAUGACAGUGCUAGCUCUUCUGUGAAUUAUAUCUGUUAUUUGUAUUCACCAAACCAGUGGAUAGUGCAUUUCGGACGAUUUGCUUGGCUGAGAACUGUUUGCAAAACAGUGAAUAUCCAAUGCUAUUCACUGUUUUGAGCCGGCGCGCGCUAUUCAUAUCUUGUCGCGGUGACAACCUUGUAUAUUUUUUUUGAAUUUAGUAAAUAAAAUGUUUUUUGAUCCUACUGGUUUGGUGAAUACUAAAACAACUAUUCCCCUCAGUCUCGGUGAACAGAGUAGGAUAUAUACCCCGACGCUAUUAUAUAAGCAUUAUUUGCUUAUUCAGAUUUUAUUAGAAACUAGCAAGGUCUCCGGUGGGAGAUAGACCCGAAGCAAUAAUUCGGACAGCAUAAGAAAUAUAGGGGGUGGUUGGGGGGCACCCCAUUGUCUUACGACAAUGUAUAUCUUUUGAGUUCCCCGAUUAUUUUUUUAAAAUUGACAUAUCUUAAUCAAAACCACGGUCGUGGAAAACUUGUGGCUGCUUAUUUAAGACUUGUUUCCAUAAUAGUUCAGUUCGCAGAGCGCCGUGUUUUCAAAUCAGACCGAAACAUAAGUUACAGGUUCCCCCGUCUGGGUAACCUGAGUAUCAGGCUUUUUAGGAAGGGGGGUAUCAGAAAGGACACGCAAUGGGACGGAGAAAAGAAAAGCAGGCCAAGCACGCGCAUUGGGGGAAAGGGUCAGAAAGGAAAGCGCUAUUUUUCGUCCACUCUUCUCGUUAUAGCUGUUUGAAUUUAUAUCUCUUGACAUCUCCCCUGUAACUUUAAUUUUCAAACAAUGGUUUGCUCAUGAUGUUCUUUCCCAAUGUCCACUAUUUUGGAAUAAGGUGUAUAAUGUUUUUUCAAUGUGCGAUCAAUUUUUUUUUUAAUCUGUUUAAUAUUUCAAGGGGGUUGAGAAGACUAUAGGUGUGAGACAAAAAAAAUAUAUAUAAUAAAGUCAACUCCACUUUAUUAUUUUUUGAAACAUGAAGAGGUGAUGUGGUAUUAUAACUUGUUAACUAUAAAAAUACAGUAAUUUCAAAAGGAACUACUUUCGCACAACACGAACCAGAACUCACUACGUAUGAGAAUCCAAAUGAGAUAAUUUGACCAUUUUGUCAUCACUUCAGUACUUCAUUACGUCAAGCCAUGAAAAAGGAAAAAGUAUUUAGUACUAAACAGUACAGAAGUAGUUGAUAUGUGAAGCCGAUGUACGUUUCAAAUCACAUUACGAUUGGUUGUUUUGCUAAUCAUGCCUAGACCAACCUGAAAAUGGCAUUGGCUUCACACAACUAUUUCUCACUAAAUAGUACUAAAUAUAAAUACUAUUUUCUUUUUCACAGAUUUACUAGAAUUGGACCACUUAAAUCUUUAAUGGAAUCUCUAGAUUACUAUCAUAGUUUAAAAAGUCCAACAUUUGUCCCUGCAGGAAGCUUGAUAGACCAAGUCUAUAUCAAAAAUAAAUUUGAAGAAAUACAAACCUCUAUCGUCCCUGUUUAUUAUACUGAUCAUGACGCUGUAAAGAUCUCAAUAUAAUGAUAAUUAGUUUAUACAAUACGUAUGAUCAAGAGAAGAGAAUAAAUAUAAAUCAAAAUACCCAAACAGUUAGGAUAGUUAACCAGAUAAAGUAAUAACAGUGCACCAAAAAACUGGUAAUAAGACUUCUUCAGAGUAGAUUAAGAAAAUAGACUAAGAAAAUAGAGAUACUACUUUGUUGACACAUGACUUCAAACAUUUAAAACAAUUGCUUUAGAGAGUAAGGCCAGUGCUACAUACAAGGAAGCUAAUGUACAUAGAGUGCAAAUAAUUGGGCAAGGGGAGGGGAGGGGAGGGGAGGGGCAUCAACUCUCUAAACUUUACUGAGAGAUCCAAGAUUGUUUGCUUACAAGACUCACAAUUUUGUUUUUUUUUUCAUUCAAUUUAUCCUGUUAAAGGAUUUUUUUUUUCAAAGACUUAACAUAGAAUCCAUGGUUUUUUGAUGAACCAAAAAAUUGUGGCAUACCUAAAAGCAAGGUUUAUCAAGCCCAAUGGUUGACGCCCCUGAAUGUGAUUCUAUUUAGCAGCUGGAUAACUCACAUCAUCCCCAGUCACUUCUAAAAUUAGAUUCACAAAAUUAAAAAUAAUUGCAAAGAAAAUCAGCCCAAAAUUUAUAUCCAACAAUUGUGAACAAGGUACUAAAAGUAAUGCGAAGAGACGAAAAGAUGGAUGAAUGAAAGACAGUGCUUCAAUACACUGGGGAGAAACUCAAUGAAAAAAGGAAUUCCACAGUACAGUGCCAUACUUAUCUUCUAUGGGCAAGAUGUACAUGGUGGUACUCUGUUAUAAUCAAAUUAUGCAAAGACAACAAAGGAAAGCAAUGCAUAUCUUAUAUCCUCCCUGGGUUGAUGAGCCACACAAUGGUAUUACUACACUGGGAGAAAAAUAUCUACUCCAAAACUACUAAUAAGAUGAUAUUGAAAUGAAGCAAGAAACAUAAAUUACUUACUGUGUGCUGUGAUGCUAGAAAUGCUAUAACUGCAGGAAAUGUGAACCUACUGUACCUCACAAGAAAAACUGCCAAUUGAAGAAAUCAUCUAAUGGAUUAUAUUUGCCCAUGGGAAAUAUUACAGAUAUAGCAAACUUAUUGAUUUGAUGAAGGAAGCAUUAAAUGAAGGAGUCAACUUCGACUAUAUAUAAAGUACUGUGUGGGUACCUAUUGCUACUAAACAUGAUUGCAUCGCAGUUAAAAUAAGCAUUCUACCUUGAUAAAGGAAAAGAGUACUCAUCAAAUCGUCACUUCCAAACACAUGUGUUGGAUCAAGAAAUAUAAUGCAAUGGUGCAAUCUCUAUUAACUCUGACAGGAAACGGGUCGGAUGUUGCAACCCUCUGGAAUUUCUUCAAUGAAUUCAAAAUACACAAAAAUGAUGAAAAAAGAACGAAAAACAAUAACUCACUCAGUUAAUAUAUAGCAUAUUACUCCCCGCCGAAUUCCAAUAACGUCGGCAUUAUCACAAUGGUAGAAACCUAAUGAUUCUCAUGUCACACAAGAAAGACGAAAGACGAUGUACCAGGAAAAUGUUGACACUAGAAGAAAAUUUACACUUAAGACUGUAUAUUGCAAUACAUAUGUUAGCUUAAUUAUUCUUAGCAUUUACAUUCUAUAAUAAAGCAUUGUGUCCGUUUA